rnacentral:misc_RNA from 1 species
CAGAGUUUUCUAAACUCCCAAACCCAUGUGGACAUACCUUAUGUUGCCUCGGCAGGUCGAGCCUACCCUGUAAGAUCUUACCCUGUAAGAUCCUACCCUGUAGCACCCGGACGCGGGUAGACCUGCCGGCGGCCCACGAAACUCUGUUUAGCAUUUGAAUCUCUGAGAAUACAACUAAAUAAGUUAA